rnacentral:tRNA from 1 species
GAGGGUAUAGCUCAGUGGCAGAGCACAUACUUAGCAUAUAGGAGGUCCGGGGUCCAAUCCCCAGUACCUCCA